rnacentral:rRNA from 1 species
AAUUGGAUAACUGUGGUAAUUCUAGAGCUAAUACAUGCAAAUCGAGUCCCGACCAGAAAUGGAAGGGAUGCUUUUAUUAGAUCAAAACCAAUCGGGCCGGCUCGUCCGGUCUGUUUGCUUUGGUGACUCUGGAUAACUUUUGCGGAUCGCACGGUCCCCGCGCCGGCGACGCAUCUUUCAAAUGUCUGCCUUAUCAACUGUCGAUGGUAGGCUCUGAGCCUACCAUGGUUGUAACGGGUAACGGGGAAUCAGGGUUCGAUUCCGGAGAGGGAGCCUGAGAAACGGCUACCACAUCCAAGGAAGGCAGCAGGCGCGCAAAUUACCCACUCCCGGCACGGGGAGGUAGUGACGAAAAAUAACGAUACGGGACUCAUCCGAGGCCCCGUAAUCGGAAUGAGUACACUUUAAACCCUUUAACGAGUAUCCAUUGGAGGGCAAGUCUGGUGCCAGCAGCCGCGGUAAUUCCAGCUCCAAUAGCGUAUAUUAAAGUUGUUGCGGUUAAAAAGCUCGUAGUUGGACUUGUGUCCCACACUGUCGGUUCACCGUUCGUCGGUGUUUAACUGGCAUGCCUGUGCGGACGUCCUGCCGGUGGAUGCGGUCGGCCGUGGGCCUCUGGUCUGCGUGUCGGCGGUCCGAUUGAAUCCUACCGCGGUGCUCUUCACCGAGUGUCGAGGUGGGCCGGCACAUUUACUUUGAACAAAUUAGAGUGCUCAAAGCAGGCAAGUGUUCGCCUGAAUAUUGUGUGCAUGGAAUAAUGGAAUAGGACCUCGGUUCUAUUUUGUUGGUCUCUGGAAUCUGAGGUAAUGAUUAAUAGGGACAGACGGGGGCAUUCGUAUUGCGACGUUAGAGGUGAAAUUCUUGGAUCGUCGCAAGACGAACCUAAGCGAAAGCAUUUGCCAUGAAUGUUUUCAUUAAUCAAGAACGAAAGUUAGAGGUUCGAAGGCGAUCAGAUACCGCCCUAGUUCUAACCAUAAACGAUGCCAGCUAGCGAUCCGCCGAUGUUUCUCCUAUGACUCGGCGGGCAGCUUCCGGGAAACCAAAGCUUUUGGGUUCCGGGGGAAGUAUGGUUGCAAAGCUGAAACUUAAAGGAAUUGACGGAAGGGCACCACCAGGAGUGGAGCCUGCGGCUUAAUUUGACUCAACACGGGAAACCUCACCAGGCCCGGACACCGGAAGGAUUGACAGAUUGAGAGCUCUUUCUUGAUUCGGUGGGUGGUGGUGCAUGGCCGUUCUUAGUUGGUGGAACGAUUUGUCUGGUUAAUUCCGAUAACGAACGAGA